GCCCCGCCCCGCUCCGCGCGCGCGCGCGCGCGCGCCCGCUGGGACACGGGCGUCCGGCCGGCGGCGUUGUGGGGCCCACCGCGCGGCUGCGGUCUGGACCACCCCGGUGUUGCGCUGGGGACGCGCCUGGGGGCGGGCCGGAGGCUGGCCGGGGGCCCGGGGACGCCGGGAAGGGCAGAUCCCGAUCCCGGAGCCGCGCCGGAAUGUUGGAACUGGGAGGGGGCAGCGGAAGGAGGACGCUCCCGCGCGCCCUGGGCCACUGCAUUCCCGGAGUCCGCCUGGGACCCUCCCGACCCAACCCCCCUGCAGCCGGAACCCCUCCCUCACGCCCAGCCGCCGGGGACGCCAGGGCUGCAGAGACGGAGACCCCUCCUCCCCGUCGCAGCCCGCUGCAGCCCGCGCUUUCCAGGGAUGAUUCACAGUUUGAGAUAGGGCUGCCUGCUAAGGCCCUUCUGAGCAUUAGGACAACCCUGGGGGAUGCGCAAAGGGGCUGUGGGGAAUCCCGGCCACGAGUGGCUGAUCGGGAAGCUCAUUCCUCGCUUCAGCGGAGGGUACGGCUAGAUGUGCAUACUGUGCUGGGGAGAGAGGCGAAGGGUAUUUGAAGUCAUGUAACAGUGAGGGGCGAGCAGGAAUCAGGGCCGCCGGACCCCCAGACAGGGCCACUUGCCACUACCCUAUGCUGAACAUAGUCUGGUGGCUCAAAGGGGUCUUCCUGCACCCAUCCCUAAUCUUCCAGGCUCUGGAGCCUGGGAGAAGGCAUGUCCAGGAUCCCUGAGCAGACCCGAUUCCCACCAGCCCUCUGCAUCAUCUGCUCCACACCGAAGUUGGACUUUCCCACAGAAGAGAAGGCAAAGAAAAGGUUCCAUCUACCAGAGCGGCGCCUGACGACACGGAACCCAUUUGCCUCAGAUCCUGUUUGAAGGCCAAGCAGAAAUGAAAUCAGUUCCCCUGAAGAAAGUGGCCUGGCAGAACAAAUGGGUAGAAAGUGGAUGGACUGAGGAGAACCUGGAUCCCUUAGCUGUGUUGUUCGCACUUCAGGGCCUGGGCACCUCCUGUUUCCUAUAGACUGCAAAUCUUCACUCCUGACUAGUGCAGUUACUGGGAUCCGCCAUUUGUCAAAUACCUGGAUUCGACUUUAACAGGAGAUGCACCAAAGUGAAGCAGUGAAGUUCUUUGUGAACAAAGUGGAGCAGUGUCAAGGCUCCAUCGUGACUGUGAUAUCUGAGAGAGUCAGUCAAGCUCCAGCAGGGGUGAGAACAGGGUCCCCCGUGGAGGCCACCGUCACCACGGACUGUGUCGGGGACCACAGCAUGAAGCACCAUGGUAUGAACCCUGCACAUAGACUCUGCUCAAGGACCAUUGGCCAUCUUGCAUCAGUGUGUAUGUUUAUUCCAUUUAUGUUACUGUUGCUGAUUGAUUGAAAUACUUUCCAUCUGCCACUAGUUCUUCCAUCCUUGUGGUGGAUGGAAAAUCCUGGUUUCUGGAAACUUGAAGGGAAAUCAGAUAAUAAAUAAAUGCCUCUGUGACAUAACACUAUUGGUGAUAGAUGCCAUGAAAAUAAAAAUAAAAUAAAAUGAAACAAAAUAAAAUAAAACCCAGGUAAGGAGGAGCCUGCCAGGGCAGUCUAGAAGGACCUCCAUGAGGUGACAUUUGAACAGAGAGAGUGUGGAAGUUUCAACAGGUGCUCUGAACAAGCAGAACAGAGGUGUGUGGGGAAGAGCAUUGCAGCAGAGAGAACUGCAUGCAAAGGCUGUGAAGCAGGAGUUUGUUUCCCUCUGUGCACGCAUGGUGAGAGAACAAGGAGCUGGAACAGAGUGACUGGAUUUUACCUUCAGAAGUUUUCAGGAAGGGGCAUGGCCUGAUGGGACUUUCCUACUGUGAUCACUGUAUGCAAUACAUUGGAGGACACAGAGAGCAGGGGCUGAGUUAGAAGCCGCAGGGGAAAGAGGCAGUAGAUAGUUGAUCUGGCAAGCUGUGGCUGGGAUCCCCCUGAUGUGCUGUGGAUGUUAGAGGAAUGAGGAACGGUGUGGUUUGGGCCUGAAUUGGGCAACUGAAGGGUUUGUCCAGGAAACAGUGAAGCAGGUUUCUGGAAAGGGCUUGGAAGGCAGUUGUGGAAUUUUGGACUUGCUGGGUCUGAAAUGCCCAAGAGACAAGUAGUGAUGACCCUUGGGGGAGAACAUGGAGGCUGGAGGUGGAAAUGUGGAAUCACAACAGCAGUGACCCUGGGAUGGACAAGUAUGGGUGGGUGCAGAUGCUGCCUCUGGGAAGAGCAGGCAGAACUGGGCCAGGGCAGCUUCCAGAUCAGGAAGAGAGU